rnacentral:rRNA from 1 species
AAUCAUAUGUGAUUUCUUAGAUCGUUGCGUCCCUUCGGGAAUGUUUGGAUAACUGUGGCAAUUCUAGAGCUAAUACAUGCAAUCAAGCUCCAACCUUCGUGGGACGAGCGCUCUUAUUAGACCAAGGCCAACCUGCUGGGCAACUGGCAGUUAGCUGUGGUGACUCUGGAUAAACAUAGUUGAUCGCACGACUUUACGUCGGCG